rnacentral:rRNA from 1 species
AUUGAACGCUGGCGGCAGGCCUAACACAUGCAAGUCGAGCGGAUGAAGGGAGCUUGCUCCUGGAUUCAGCGGCGGACGGGUGAGUAAUGCCUAGGAAUCUGCCUGGUAGUGGGGAUAACGUCCGGAAACGGGCGCUAAUACCGCAUACGUCCUGAGGGAGAAAGUGGGGGAUCUUCGGACCUCACGCUAUCAGAUGAGCCUAGGUCGGAUCAGCUAGUUGGUGGGGUAAAGGCCUACCAAGGCGACGAUCCGUAACUGGUCUGAGAGGAUGAUCAGUCACACUGGAACUGAGACACGGUCCAGACUCCUACGGGAGGCAGCAGUGGGGAAUAUUGGACAAUGGGCGAAAGCCUGAUCCAGCCAUGCCGCGUGUGUGAAGAAGGUCUUCGGAUUGUAAAGCACUUUAAGUUGGGAGGAAGGGCAGUAAGUUAAUACCUUGCUGUUUUGACGUUACCAACAGAAUAAGCACCGGCUAACUUCGUG